rnacentral:tRNA from 1 species
CGGCCUAUAGCUCAACUGGUAGAGCAAUCCUUUAGGAAAGGAUGGUUAGGGGUUCGAUACCCUUUAGGUCGC